rnacentral:rRNA from 1 species
UACGGGGGGGGCAAGCGUUGUUCGGAAUUACUGGGCGUAAAGGGCUCGUAGGCGGCCCACUAAGUCAGACGUGAAAUCCCUCAGCUUAACUGGGGAACUGCGUCUGAUACUGGAUGGCUUGAGAUUGGGAGAGGGAUGCGGAAUUCCCGGUGUAGCGGUGAAAUGCGUAGAUAUCGGGAGGAACAUCAGUGGCGAAGGCGGCCUUCUGGUCCAGUACUGACACUCAAGUGCGAAAGCGUGGGGAGCAAACAGG